AGAGUUUGAUCAUGGCUCAGAUUGAACGCUGGCGGCAGGCCUAACACAUGCAAGUCGAGCGGUAGCACAGAGAGCUUGCUCUCGGGUGACGAGCGGCGGACGGGUGAGUAAUGUCUGGGAAACUGCCUGAUGGAGGGGGAUAACUACUGGAAACGGUAGCUAAUACCGCAUAACGUCGCAAGACCAAAGUGGGGGACCUUCGGGCCUCAUGCCAUCAGAUGUGCCCAGAUGGGAUUAGCUAGUAGGUGGGGUAACGGCUCACCUAGGCGACGAUCCCUAGCUGGUCUGAGAGGAUGACCAGCCACACUGGAACUGAGACACGGUCCAGACUCCUACGGGAGGCAGCAGUGGGGAAUAUUGCACAAUGGGCGCAAGCCUGAUGCAGCCAUGCCGCGUGUAUGAAGAAGGCCUUCGGGUUGUAAAGUACUUUCAGCGGGGAGGAAGGCGAUAAGGUUAAUAACCUUGUCGAUUGACGUUACCCGCAGAAGAAGCACCGGCUAACUCCGUGCCAGCAGCCGCGGUAAUACGGAGGGUGCAAGCGUUAAUCGGAAUUACUGGGCGUAAAGCGCACGCAGGCGGUCUGUCAAGUCGGAUGUGAAAUCCCCGGGCUCAACCUGGGAACUGCAUUCGAAACUGGCAGGCUAGAGUCUUGUAGAGGGGGGUAGAAUUCCAGGUGUAGCGGUGAAAUGCGUAGAGAUCUGGAGGAAUACCGGUGGCGAAGGCGGCCCCCUGGACAAAGACUGACGCUCAGGUGCGAAAGCGUGGGGAGCAAACAGGAUUAGAUACCCUGGUAGUCCACGCCGUAAACGAUGUCGAUUUGGAGGUUGUGCCCUUGAGGCGUGGCUUCCGGAGCUAACGCGUUAAAUCGACCGCCUGGGGAGUACGGCCGCAAGGUUAAAACUCAAAUGAAUUGACGGGGGCCCGCACAAGCGGUGGAGCAUGUGGUUUAAUUCGAUGCAACGCGAAGAACCUUACCUGGUCUUGACAUCCACAGAACUUAGCAGAGAUGCUUUGGUGCCUUCGGGAACUGUGAGACAGGUGCUGCAUGGCUGUCGUCAGCUCGUGUUGUGAAAUGUUGGGUUAAGUCCCGCAACGAGCGCAACCCUUAUCCUUUGUUGCCAGCGGUUCGGCCGGGAACUCAAAGGAGACUGCCAGUGAUAAACUGGAGGAAGGUGGGGAUGACGUCAAGUCAUCAUGGCCCUUACGACCAGGGCUACACACGUGCUACAAUGGCAUAUACAAAGAGAAGCGACCUCGCGAGAGCAAGCGGACCUCAUAAAGUAUGUCGUAGUCCGGAUUGGAGUCUGCAACUCGACUCCAUGAAGUCGGAAUCGCUAGUAAUCGUAGAUCAGAAUGCUACGGUGAAUACGUUCCCGGGCCUUGUACACACCGCCCGUCACACCAUGGGAGUGGGUUGCAAAAGAAGUAGGUAGCUUAACCUUCGGGAGGGCGCUUACCACUUUGUGAUUCAUGACUGGGGUGAAGUCGUAACAAGGUAACCGUAGGGGAACCUGCGGUUG
rnacentral:rRNA from 2 species